AUGUGGCUGUAGCGACAACCUCCCCAUGGUGGUUGCGGACAAUGACGCUUCCUCAUGAAAAAGGUUGGUGGUGGUGCAGUCCAAAACGCGAGACUGUGGCUUCCUGAAGGCGGAGAUCUUAACACUACCAGAGAAGAAAUCGUGGAGGUUACAGCAGCGGUGAACUUGGAGAACUGUUGCUGCGUAUCCAAUGCUACGCUUUCAAAACAUAUGGGUUACCCAAGAUUGUAAGGAAGUGUUAUGUGAAUUGGCUGAUUGAAGCGUAAAUGGGGAACUGAACCAGAAACACUUAGCCUAAUCGCAAUGCUAAGCUUUGUGGGAAGAGAAUUAUGAAGGAAUCUCUACAUAAAAUUCAGCGUUCUUGGUGGGGCUUUAGUCUGCCGAAAUUGUUUCCAAUUAAUGAUGGUUGCCAGGUUGUUCCCCCCUCACUGUGUCUGAGCUUGCUGUCGAACCAACCGGUAUUUUCUGGCUGAAAUUGAGGGACCUGAGCAAAAAUCUGAUUCAGAGACUGAAAAGGACUGCAGAUGCUGUUGGAUUCUGACCUUCCUGCACUCGAAGUGGAUUUUCUAGAGCUACAGAAGCCCAAUUGGCGCGCUCUCAACGGCGUUGGAAA